rnacentral:rRNA from 1 species
ACGAAGGGGGCUAGCGUUGCUCGGAAUCACUGGGCGUAAAGGGCGCGUAGGCGGCCGAUUAAGUCGGGGGUGAAAGCCUGUGGCUCAACCACAGAAUUGCCUUCGAUACUGGUUGGCUUGAGACCGGAAGAGGACAGCGGAACUGCGAGUGUGGGGUUGAAUUCCGUGAUUAUUCGCAGGACCCCCGGGGGGAAGGCGGGUUGCUUGUUCGGGUUUGGCCGUGGGGCGGCGAAACGUGGGGAGCAAACAG